rfam:Haemonchus placei strain MHpl1 genome assembly, scaffold: HPLM_scaffold0000151
GGUCCAAAUUUGAAGUAGAGUAGGUUGGAAGGCUCAUCUGAUCCUACUAAACUACUCUACUUCAAGUUUGUGCCC